GGUAAUGCCGGAUGCUCCAGUUGAUCGCAUGGUCUUCUGGGAAAGCUUUCGCGGUAUGGGAUGGGGUCGCGUCCUAUCAGCUUGACGGCGGGGUAACGGCCCACCGUGGCUUCGACGGGUAGCCGGCCUGAGAGGGCGACCGGCCACAUUGGGACUGAGAUACGGCCCAGACUCCUACGGGAGGCAGCAGUGGGGAAUAUUGCACAAUGGGCGCAAGCCUGAUGCAGCGACGCCGCGUGAGGGAUGGAGGCCUUCGGGUUGUAAACCUCUUUUAUCGGGGAGCAAGCGAGAGUGAGUUUACCCGUUGAAUAAGCACCGGCUAACUACGUGCCAGCAGCCGCGGUAAUACGUAGGGUGCAAGCGUUAUCCGGAAUUAUUGGGCGUAAAGGGCUCGUAGGCGGUUCGUCGCGUCCGGUGUGAAAGUCCAUCGCUUAACGGUGGAUCCGCGCCGGGUACGGGCGGGCUUGAGUGCGGUAGGGGAGACUGGAAUUCCCGGUGUAACGGUGGAAUGUGUAGAUAUCGGAAAAGAACACCACC
rnacentral:rRNA from 1 species